UUACCAUGCAGUCGACGGCAGCACGGGAGCAAUCCUGGUGGCGAGUGGCGAACGGGUGAGUAAUACAUCGGAACGUGUCCUGGAGUGGGGGAUAGCCCGGCGAAAGCCGGAUUAAUACCGCAUACGCUCUGAGGAGGAAAGGGGGGGAUCUUAGGACCUCUCGCUCAAGGGGCGGCCGAUGGCAGAUUAGCUAGUUGGUGGGGUAAAGGCCUACCAAGGCGACGAUCUGUAGCUGGUCUGAGAGGACGACCAGCCACACUGGGACUGAGACACGGCCCAGACUCCUACGGGAGGCAGCAGUGGGGAAUUUUGGACAAUGGGCGCAAGCCUGAUCCAGCAAUGCCGCGUGUGUGAAGAAGGCCUUCGGGUUGUAAAGCACUUUUGUCCGGAAAGAAAACACGCCUGUUAAUACCGGGUGUGGAUGACGGUACCGGAAGAAUAAGCACCGGCUAACUACGUGCCAGCAGCCGCGGUAAUACGUAGGGUGCAAGCGUUAAUCGGAAUUACUGGGCGUAAAGCGUGCGCAGGCGGUUCGUUAAGACAGAUGUGAAAUCCCCGGGCUUAACCUGGGAACUGCAUUUGUGACUGGCGGACUCGAGUAUGGCAGAGGGGGGUAGAAUUCCACGUGUAGCAGUGAAAUGCGUAGAGAUGUGGAGGAAUACCGAUGGCGAAGGCAGCCCCCUGGGCCAAUACUGACGCUCAUGCACGAAAGCGUGGGGAGCAAACAGGAUUAGAUACCCUGGUAGUCCACGCCCUAAACGAUGUCAACUGGUUGUCGGGGUCUUCAUUGACUUGGUAACGAAGCUAACGCGUGAAGUUGACCGCCUGGGGAGUACGGUCGCAAGAUUAAA
rnacentral:rRNA from 1 species